AAACGACAUCGAAAGCUUGCUUUUGAUGGGCGUCGACCGGCGCACGGGUGAGUAACGCGUAUCCAACCUGCCCAUCACUUGGGAAUAACCUUGCGAAAGUAAGACUAAUACCCAAUGAUAUCCCACGAAGGCAUCCGAAUGGGAUUAAAGAUUUAUCGGUGAUGGAUGGGGAUGCGUCUGAUUAGCUUGUUGGCGGGGUAACGGCCCACCAAGCCCACGAUAUCUAGGGGUUCUGAGAGGAAGGUCCCCACAAUGGAACUGAGACACGGCCCAUACUCC
rnacentral:rRNA from 1 species